AUGAGGUUGUUCAAUGGUAAACAACAUGCUAUGGAUUCUAUUUAUGGUAACUGGCAGGAAAGUUUUCAAUUGUUGUAUUCAUUCAAAGGUGAAGUGGAGAGGACAAGCCCAGGUAGUAUUGUAGAUAUUGAUCACCACAGCGUGGAGUACACAUUCAAGGGAGUGACAAAGACCAAGGAAUCAUUUAGGAGGGUUUUUGUCUGUUUCGAGGCUUGUCGUCGGGGUUUUUUGGCUGGCUGCAGGCCUUAUUUGGCUAUUGAUGCCACUUUUCUCACAGGGAGGUUUAAAGGACAGUUAGUAGCAGCUUCUGCAGUUGAUGCACACAGUUUUGUAUUUCCAGUUGCCUAUGGUGUGCUGGAGACAGAGUCUGAGGAGAGCUAG
rnacentral:rRNA from 1 species